CUACGGGCGGCUGCAGUGGGGAAUAUUGCACAAUGGACGAAAGUCUGAUGCAGCAACGCCGCGUGGAGGAUGACACAUUUCGGUGCGUAAACUCCUUUUAUAUAAGAAGAUAAUGACGGUAUUAUAUGAAUAAGCACCGGCUAACUCCGUGCCAGCAGCCGCGGUAAUACGGAGGGUGCAAGCGUUAUUCGGAAUCACUGGGCGUAAAGGGUGCGUAGGCGGUUUGGAAAGUCAGGUGUGAAAGCCUACAGCUUAACUGUAGAACUGCACUUGAAACUUCCAGACUAGAAUACUGAAGGGGCAGAUGGAAUUAGUGGUGUAGGGGUAAAAUCCGUAGAUAUCACUAGGAAUACCUAAAGCGAAAGCGAUCUGCUGGGAAGUUAUUGACGCUGAGGCACGAAAGCGUGGGGAGCAAACAGGAUUAGAUACCCUCGUAGUC
rnacentral:rRNA from 1 species